AUACGGAGGGUGCAAGCGUUACUCGGAAUCACUGGGCGUAAAGCGCGCGCAGGCGGCUACUUAAGUUGGAUGUGAAAGCCUACGGCUCAACCGUAGAACUGCAUCCAAAACUAUUUAGCUAGAGUGUGGGAGAGGAAGAUGGAAUUAGUUGUGUAGGGGUAAAAUCCGUAGAGAUAACUAGGAAUACCAAAAGCGAAGGCAAUCUUCUGGAACACUACUGACGCUGAGGCGCGAAAGCGUGGGGAGCAAACAGGAUUAGAAACCCCAGUAGUCC
rnacentral:rRNA from 1 species